rnacentral:rRNA from 1 species
AAAUCAGAGGAACUUGUCUCAUAAUCGAUAAUCCCCGAUCAAUUUCACUACCCACAACAAUUAUUUUUAUACCUCCGUCAAAAUUUUUCCAUAAAAAAAAUUAAAAAAAUUCCCCCAAAUUAAAAAGUCAGGUCAAGGUGAAAUAACAUGUAGAGAGGAUAAGUUACUUAUUAAAACAAUUAAAAGAAAAAUAACCAAAACUAAUUAGAAAAAGGAUUUGAAAGUACUUAUUAAAUAACAAUUAAUAAUGAAUCUAAUUUUCGGUGUACAUAUCGCCCGUCACCCUUAUCCAAAGACAAGGUAAGUCGUAACACAGUUGAAAUAUUGGAAAAUGUUUCAAGAUCUAAAAAACCCUAAGCAUUACAUUUCAAAUGUAAC